rnacentral:rRNA from 1 species
UACAGAGGGCUCAAGCGUUGUUCGGAUUCAUUGGGCGUAAAGGGCGCGUAGGCGGCGCGGUAAGUCGGGUGUGAAAUCUCGGAGCUUAACUCCGAAACUGCAUUCGAUACUGCCGUGCUUGAGGACUGGAGAGGAGACUGGAAUUUACGGUGUAGCGGUGAAAUGCGUAGAUAUCGUAAGGAAGACCAGUGGCGAAGGCGGGUCUCUGGACAGUUCCUGACGCUGAGGCGCGAAGGUCAGGGGAGCAAACAGG